rfam:Tilletia controversa strain DAOM 236426 scaffold_21, whole genome shotgun sequence.
GUCGGUGUCGUAUAGUGGUUAGUACGUAUCGUUGUGGAUUGCAAUGUACCGAUGAAACGGCGGUUCGAUUCCGCCCACCGGCA